rnacentral:rRNA from 1 species
CUUGACAUCCAGAGAAUUUAGCAGAGAUGCUUUAGUGCCUUCGGGAACUCUGGGACAGGUGCUGCAUGGCUGUCGUCAGCUCGUGUUGUGAAAUGUUGGGUUAAGUCCCGNAACGAGCGCAACCCUUAUCCUUUGUUGCCAGCACGUAAUGGUGGGAACUCAAAGGAGACUGCCGGUGAUAAACCGGAGGAAGGUGGGGAUGACGUCAAGUCAUCAUGGCCCUUACGAGUAGGGCUACACACGUGCUACAAUGGCGCAUACAAAGAGAAGCGACCUCGCGAGAGCAAGCGGACCUCAUAAAGUGCGUCGUAGUCCGGAUUGGAGUCUGCAACUCGACUCCAUGAAGUCGGAAUCGCUAGUAAUCGUAAAUCAGAAUGUUACGGUGAAUACGUUCCCGGGCCUUGUACACACCGCCCGUCACACCAUGGGAGUGGGUUGCAAAAGAAGUAGAUAGCUUAACCUUCGGGAGGGCGUUUACCACUUUGUGAUUCAUGACUGGGGUGAAGUCGUAACAAGGUAGGCGUAGUGCU